rnacentral:rRNA from 1 species
UACGUAGGGGGCUAGCGUUGUCCGGAUUUAUUGGGCGUAAAGAGCGUGUAGGCGGCCAUGUAGGUCCGGUGUGAAAACUCGAGGCUUAACCUCGAGAUGUCAUCGGAAACCAUUUGGCUAGAGUCCGGAAGAGGAGAGUGGAAUUCCUGGUGUAGCGGUGAAAUGCGCAGAUAUCAGGAAGAACACCGACGGCGAAGGCAGCUCGCUGGGGCGGUACUGACGCUGAGGCGCGAAAGCGUGGGGAGCGAACAGG